rnacentral:tRNA from 1 species
GAAUAUGUAGCUCAGUGGUAUAGCACUUGUCUAGCAUUCAUGAGACCCUGAGUUCAAUUCCCAGUGUAGCCC